GGGACUAUAGCUCAGGGGGAGAGCGCUUGCUUGACGUGCAAGAAGUCGUAGGUUCAAAUCCUACUAGUCCCACCA
rnacentral:tRNA from 1 species